rnacentral:tRNA from 1 species
AAGGCUAUAGCUUAAUUAAAGUGUCUGUUUUGCAUACAGAAGAUGUGAGUUAGUGUCUCGUUAGUCUUA